GACAGAGGGUGCGAACGUUGCUCGGAAUUACUGGGCGUAAAGCGCGUGUAGGCGGAUUGGUGUGUCGUAUGUGAAAUCCCUGGGCUCAACCCAGGAACUGCAUUCGAAACUGCCAGUCUCGAGUGGUGGAGAGGGAAGUGGAAUUCCUGGUGUAGAGGUGAAAUUCGUAGAUAUCAGGAGGAACACCAGUGGCGAAGGCGGCUUCCUGGACACCAACUGACGCUGAGACGCGAAAGCGUGGGGAGCAAACAGG
rnacentral:rRNA from 1 species